AACUGAUACUACCUGCGGGAACCUGCGGAAGGAUCAUUACCGAGUUCGGAGUUCUGCUCCAACUCCCACCCUUGUUUACUCAAAACGUUGCUUCGGCGAGACGUUGGAAAGCAACCAUCGGCAAUUCAUAAGAUGACCCGAUGCGCGCUCGCCGGACUCCAAAUACUCUGAGAUUAUGUAUCGUCAGAUGAAAACAAGCAAUUAAAUAAAAACUUUCAGCAACGGAUCUCUAGAUCGGAA
rnacentral:misc_RNA from 1 species